GCCACUUCUGAAUUAGAGGAUGGAGGAAAACAAAAGCUUAUACUCAACAAGAGGGAUUGAAAGAAGCAAGAAAUAAUCUCAGAGAAAAAACAGCAACAUUUUUAAAAGGCUUUAUAUUCCCUUCAACGCUGAAUCUGGAGACUAAUAACUAAUAUGAGCAUUGCCCAUUGCCUUGGUGCUUGAUCUUGAAAACAUACUGAAAACAAUGGUACUAUGCCUUCUCAAUAAAGGAAAUUUCAAUAACUAAAAAACAUAUCUUUGUUGAAGAAUCCUUUGGUAAGUUUCUUUUCCAAAGUUUCUUCAUUUCGUGACUUGGUUGCCUACUAAGGA